GGACGAACGCUGGCGGCGUGCCUAAUACAUGCAAGUCGAACGAACUCUGGUAUUGAUUGGUGCUUGCAUCAUGAUUUACAUUUGAGUGAGUGGCGAACUGGUGAGUAACACGUGGGAAACCUGCCCAGAAGCGGGGGAUAACACCUGGAAACAGAUGCUAAUACCGCAUAACAACUUGGACCGCAUGGUCCGAGCUUGAAAGAUGGCUUCGGCUAUCACUUUUGGAUGGUCCCGCGGCGUAUUAGCUAGAUGGUGGGGUAACGGCUCACCAUGGCAAUGAUACGUAGCCGACCUGAGAGGGUAAUCGGCCACAUUGGGACUGAGACACGGCCCAAACUCCUACGGGAGGCAGCAGUAGGGAAUCUUCCACAAUGGACGAAAGUCUGAUGGAGCAACGCCGCGUGAGUGAAGAAGGGUUUCGGCUCGUAAAACUCUGUUGUUAAAGAAGAACAUAUCUGAGAGUAACUGUUCAGGUAUUGACGGUAUUUAACCAGAAAGCCACGGCUAACUACGUGCCAGCAGCCGCGGUAAUACGUAGGUGGCAAGCGUUGUCCGGAUUUAUUGGGCGUAAAGCGAGCGCAGGCGGUUUUUUAAGUCUGAUGUGAAAGCCUUCGGCUCAACCGAAGAAGUGCAUCGGAAACUGGGAAACUUGAGUGCAGAAGAGGACAGUGGAACUCCAUGUGUAGCGGUGAAAUGCGUAGAUAUAUGGAAGAACACCAGUGGCGAAGGCGGCUGUCUGGUCUGUAACUGACGCUGAGGCUCGAAAGUAUGGGUAGCAAACAGGAUUAGAUACCCUGGUAGUCCAUACCGUAAACGAUGAAUGCUAAGUGUUGGAGGGUUUCCGCCCUUCAGUGCUGCAGCUAACGCAUUAAGCAUUCCGCCUGGGGAGUACGGCCGCAAGGCUGAAACUCAAAGGAAUUGACGGGGGCCCGCACAAGCGGUGGAGCAUGUGGUUUAAUUCGAAGCUACGCGAAGAACCUUACCAGGUCUUGACAUACUAUGCAAAUCUAAGAGAUUAGACGUUCCCUUCGGGGACAUGGAUACAGGUGGUGCAUGGUUGUCGUCAGCUCGUGUCGUGAGAUGUUGGGUUAAGUCCCGCAACGAGCGCAACCCUUAUUAUCAGUUGCCAGCAUUAAGUUGGGCACUCUGGUGAGACUGCCGGUGACAAACCGGAGGAAGGUGGGGAUGACGUCAAAUCAUCAUGCCCCUUAUGACCUGGGCUACACACGUGCUACAAUGGAUGGUACAACGAGUUGCGAACUCGCGAGAGUAAGCUAAUCUCUUAAAGCCAUUCUCAGUUCGGAUUGUAGGCUGCAACUCGCCUACAUGAAGUCGGAAUCGCUAGUAAUCGCGGAUCAGCAUGCCGCGGUGAAUACGUUCCCGGGCCUUG
rnacentral:rRNA from 1 species